rnacentral:tRNA from 1 species
GAGGGUACAGCUCAGUGGUGGAGCACAUGCCUAGCACGCACAAGGUCCUGGGUUCAAUCCCUAGUACCUCCA